CCUACGGGUGGCAGCAGUGGGGAAUAUUGCACAAUGGGGGAAACCCUGAUGCAGCGACGCCGCGUGAGUGAAGAAGUAUUUCCGUACGUAAAGCUCUAUUAGCAGGGAGGAAAAUGACGGUACCUGACUAAGAAGCCCCGGAUAACUACGUGCCAGCAGCCGCGGUAAUACGUAGGGGGCAAGCGUUAUCCGGAUUUACUGGGUGUAAAGGGAGCGUAGUCGGCAGCGCAAGUCUGGAGUGAAAACCCAUGGGUUAACCAUGGAACUGCGGUGGAAACUGGGCAGCUGGAGUGCAGGAGAGGUAAGCGGAAUUCGUAGUGUAGCGGUGAAAUGCGUAGAUAUUAGGAGGAACCCCAGUGGCGAAGGCGGCUUACUGGACUGCAACUGACGUUGAGGCUCGAAGGUGUGGGUAGCAAACAGGAUUAGAUACCCGGGUAGUC
rnacentral:rRNA from 1 species